GUGAAAGGGAUGGGUGAUGGCUACUGCCAUUACUACCACAUCCGCCACCUAUUUCUUCUUGCUUUGCUUGCACGCCUGCAACACCAAUUCCUUUAGAUUCCACAUUCGUCUUUCAACCCCUACGACGUUCCGCUACUCCAAGAUCAAGAGGAUGGUGAAGAUUCAUGCUCCUUAAAAGCAGACAGGAAGAAGGUUCUGGCUCAUCAAGGGAGCUGCUUGCAGAAGCGAGGUUGUGGUGUUCUUGGAUGCGAUGGUGCCGUGGAGGAUGGAGGCGCGGCUGGCGGCGACGGUGCGGGCGGCCCUCCUCGGCUGGCUCUUCUUCUGCCUCACCGUCGCCAGCGACGUCGCACGCCAACUCAGGAGCAGCGAUCUCUCCGUCUAAGGCCGACCGCGUUCGGCAUGGCCGACGGCGAAGAACCGACUCUGCGUCUACAGAUUGAUUUACAGGAGGGUAACCAGAUGCGAUUUUCCAAAGUAGUGCUCGUCUUUAGAAGACGGCUGUCCUUAAGAGUUAAGACUCAUUGAGCAGAUGCUCCCUGUAAAUUUUCAACUAAAGCGUGUUGUUCCUUUGCUCAUUUUGGGGGGUCAGCAUGGUUACUUCCAAACUAGCAUCACUGACUACGACCUGAAAUAACUUUUUUUUUUUGGCGAAAUUACCACCUGAAAUACUUGAUAAAUCAUUACACCUUAACGGUUUUGUCAUUAGUUAACUAAACCCAUUAGGGGUCUAGCUCCACUUUUAAUCUGAAGUGUUGGUCCCAUGAUGAGAUGGCCUAGCAAAUAAUUAUUGUCGUCGGUCACCUCACAUGCUGUCAGGAGUCAGGAGCCGAAUUAUUUUAAUGUUUUUUUAUAAUGUCUGAGGAUAAUAGACUCACAAUAUCAGAUAUCUAGUUUGUGUCGAUUUGACUUUGGCAUACCGGAUUGAAGAGAACAAAUUUGAAAUUUUUUCCAUUACUCUUGUUCAAACAUAUGUUUUUAGUAUAAAAAAUGUAUGAUGUCAAUGCUUCGGCAUAACAAAUUUAGGCGUUGUUCGGUAUCCCUCCGCUCCACAACUCCGGGAGCAGAGUUGGCAGAGCUGCAGUUCAAAAUGGUGGAGUUGCAGUUCCCCCGCUCCGCGAAUUCCGGGAGUGGGUGAUAACCGAACAGGGCCUUAGUUCUCAGUAUAUUGACUUGUUAAUCAAGAAACUAUUUGAAAAAGAUUCACAAAAUCCUUAUUAAAAUGAAUACAUUAUAUAUGCGUUCUUACAAACUGUUAUGCAUGACUUUGACAACAUUAUAAAGUUGUAAAUAUAAAAUCUUAUAUUUGUUCACUUAUUUCCGUGGAAGAAUUGUUGUCAUCUAUGAUCGGUCUUCUAAAUAUGAACGAUACACAUCCUUCAGAUAACGGCCAUAUUGGUCGAUAUUUCGGUCUAUAUCGUAUGGUAUGUAUGAAAAUAAUACAAAAUGAUAUGCUAUAUCUAUAUCGUUAGGCCCCCACAACUGAUAUAUCUGUCGUAUUUCAUGAGAUUUAGAAGCUUGGAGGAUAGUCGGUUUCAAAUAAGGAUACAUAGUUCGACGCCUAAAGGUCAGCAGGUGAUGCACCAUAAGUUCUACUGCACUAGAUAUUUAGUCCCUUUCGGUUCUAGAAACAUUUAAUAACAAACAUUUCUUUUGCAGAAUAAAAGUGAACCAUAGCCAAAGAUAAUAAUUGACUCGAGCAUCAAUGCAAUAAUCCAAUGAAGUCCACAUCUUGAGAUAGACCUCACCAAGAAGAUUUUUGAUUAUUUAUUUCUUGUAUGUCCUCUCCACUUCGAGAUAAACAUAGAUAAGAUAUUAAAAAAAUCUAAACUCAAUAAAUGUCAUGCUAAAUCCAGAGGCAAAUUUUUUUUUGGAACGCUCGUAUGCCUCAUGUUCCAUCUAGAUAGAUAAAUAAAUACAAAAACCACCCACAUGCUUAUUUUCCUUGUGUCUAGUUUGAUUAAGGAUGUAGUGUGUAUCUCUUUCAUUUGAUCAAUAUAAUCUCGUUUGACCCGCAAAGAAAAAGUAACAACCCGGCAUUUUGGCUCUCGGGUGCAUCUGCACCCGAGGUGAACAGUAAAUUCAUUUAAAAUAAUUAAAAAUCAAUAAAAAAUGAAAAAAAAAAUGUGAUGCUAGAUGCUCAUGUGCGUGAAGUCCGUGCUAAAUUUCGUGUAGUUUGGUCAUUUCAGUAGCUCUCAUCCAAAAAAAUAAAUUUUAGGGCUGUAAGAAAGUUUAUUGUUUACGUACUGUUUUGACGGAUUUUAUCUUUUUUGCCAUGAGCUCCUCAGAUUUCCGAACAAGCUGAAAUUUGGCGUGAACAUCACGCAUUGGAACAUCUUCCACUCAAAAAAUAUAUUUUUUUUGAAUUUACUGUUCACCUGGUGCAGAUGAGCCAGGGCAUCGAAUUGAAUAUCAGAUGAGCAUGGGCACCGAACUGAAUAUCCGGUAUAGUAAUGUUACUUUUGCUACCAAUGGUUAAAUAGCUGGCGAGUUUUGUGGGAUAAUUGGGCACGCCGCUUAGAUCAGUUCUAGCAGAGUCGUCAUAUGUGUAGUCACUAAAAUGCAUAUGAAAUGUGGUGCAUUGAAUUUUGGAGGCUAUCAAGGCGACUUGCAAAUUCAGAGCCACUGUAUUGUCUUCAAAAUAUUUUUAUUGUUAGUAGUUUUCAUUCCAUACUUGAAUUAAAUGUUACAUAACAAUUCAAAAGCAACCAUGUUUUUUAAACAAGUUGCAUGAACAAAAGAUAAAACAUCAUGCAUAUUCAACCGAAUGUACAAAUCACGUGUCAUUGGCUCCUCCUCUAGUGUUUGCACCAUCCCCUCCUCCGUCAUGUGCACCUUCUCCUCCUCGGGUGUGUUGGGCGCUCCGUGCCAUCCUAGAAUGCAUGAUCGUCGCUUGAGUGAACUUGCAAAAUAAUAUUGACACUGGAUCCAUGAUAUUGCGGUCCAACAUCACCAACCGGUUCUCCUCGGUUAUCUUGUCGUGCAUCAACCAGCCAUCCUCAAGUUUAAGCCUAUGCACCUCCAUCUCUUCCUUGCAUCAUGUACUUGCUUGCAUAGCAUCCCACCUCAUCCUCUUCUCUUGCAGCUUCCUCUCCUCCAUAUUCAACUUUUCUUGCUUUCUCUUGUCUGCGUACUCAUGCCUUGACUUCAUCAACUCGGCGAUCUUGUUUUUCAUUACCUCCGCCGCUUGUUGUAUCUUGAGCAUCUCCUUCAAUUGCUUCCUUCCGUCAGGUCGACCCACGCUAGACGCCAAACUGGGUCUUUAGCCACCCUUUCCUCUCCAUCACCAGACGUGAGAGAUUUGAGGGUAUGGUUUGAUUUAUGCCCAAGGUGUUUCCUUGAGGUGCCUCCGAUAGUUUGCACUCAUUUGAUCUUUGUUGACGACCACAUCAAGAGUGAUGUCUUGCCAUGCCCUCACAGGAGCAACAUCCUCUUUCGUGGUGUAGUUUGUGGUCUGAAUUGCUUUCUUCCUUGACGAACCAGAGGGUUGAAAUUGAUCCAGUUCAACCUAUUUGCCCUCCACAUGCAAUUGAUCAAAGUGACCCACCGAUUCCCCAUCAAGAACGAACUAUAGGUCGCAAUUGAAUCAUCCAUCGUUACUAAACGUCGAUCCUCCCAAAUGCACAAAUUCAUUACUACACACACAUACUGCACAAUUGCCACCAUUCUUCCAUCAUCACGUUGCAGUUAGUCAGAACAGUCUAAAGAGAAGGAAGGUUUUUUUUACCCCAUCGGUAAAUCUCCGAGUGCAACGUAGUGGAUACGCGCCCGAGUUUCGCCCUCCGUGGGAACAAAGGGGAGGGGGGACGCGGGACGACCCCGACGCACUUGCCUUCUUCCUUCGAUUCUUCACCGUGGAGCAUGUGGCGGAGGCCGACGCCCGGAGUUAACGCAUUAGUGGCAGCAUAGGGUUUGUCACUUUUGCACCCCAUUGAUGACAGGGUGGAGAAAGUGCUGGCCUAGGCGGUGGCAGGUUGUCGUCGAGGCCGGCGGAGGAGCGGGAAUCGCCCAGGAGGAGGAGGAUUCCAUAACGUUGACAUCAUCUGUGGGGGUUGUGGGCGUCCGGAGACGGUGCCACAACGAGGGAGGAGUGUUGCGGCGAGAAGAGGAGCGGGGGGCGAAAUGUCACUCGCGCCAAACCGUUUUCCAAAUGGAGUGUGCUCCACAGAUCUCACCACAGCCUUCAAAUAUGGAGGGUCACGACUCGAUUUGAAGCGAUCCCCAACAUUUAUGCCACUGAAGCGAAGGAGGCGAUUCUGCUAGACCCGCUUUUUUCAACCAAAAUCGCCUGGCGUUCCUGCGUUCUGUCUCAUCUCCUCUCUUGUGUUUCUACCAUCUCUUGUUGAGAUAAGAGCCCGUCCCCUGUGGCUAAGCAUCUCCAUCGCGGACACUUGCGAGUCCACUCCCGGAAUUUCUUUGGCAGCGUACACUGUACAGCGCCUAGAGCUUUGAUGUUUUAGCAUGGAAUAAAAAUCGAGAGAUAUCUGUUGCCAAUGGAUUGGACGGUGAAAGGGAUGGGCUAGCUACCAUCAUCACCGGCCACCUGUUUCUUCUCUGUUGCUUUACUUGCACGGCUGCAACACCAACUCCUUCAGCUUUCACUUUCGGCCUAUAUGACGCUCUUCUACUCCAAGCAACAGGUCGGUCAAGAUUCGUGCCCGUUAAAAGCAGACAGGAAGGAAGAAGGCUCCGCCUCAUCAAGUGAGGGGGUGCCUCUGAGUUGGAUGCCAUGGUGCCGUGGAGGCUGGAGGCCCGCCUGGCGGAGACGGUGAGGGCGGCGCUCCUCGGCUGGCUCUUCUUCUGCAUCACCGUCGCCAGCGAUGUCGCACAUGCGCUCAGAAGCAGCGAUCUCUCCAUCUAAGACCGGCCACGUUCGACAUGGCCAAGACCGACUCUGUGCCUACAAAGUGGCAGUUCAUUGGGCGCACAGGAAGAAAAUUUAUUUACAGCAGUGUAACCAGUCAGUGAGUUCAUCCAUGAGAGAAUGAGUUCGAUGUAAAGGUGAAAUAUUCAUAUAGAUUACAUGUAAAAUCUUGUGUCAAACAGAGAAAUACUGGCUAUUUGCUCAAA